rnacentral:rRNA from 1 species
UACGGAGGAUGCGAGCGUUAUCCGGAUUUAUUGGGUUUAAAGGGUACGUAGGCGGUAUCGUAAGUUAGUGGUUAAAUCUACAGGCUAAACCUGUAUACGCCAUUAAAACUGCGGAACUAGAGUAUAAACGAGGUAGGCGGAAUAAGUUAAGUAGCGGUGAAAUGCAUAGAUAUAACUUAGAACUCCGAUAGCGAAAGCAG